GUUCUAGCUGGGGAUCCUGAGACCGACAAGCAAAUCCGUAGAGCAACAAAGCGUGUUCAUUUGUCUGUUGCUGAAAGGCUGCUUAAAGAAUUUGCUUGUUCGAUAUGCCGGGCGGUGAUUAAAGAACCACUUACGACUCCAUGUGCCCACAACUUUUGCAAAACUUGUUUGCUUGGGGCAUAUGAUAGCCAGUCUUCUGUAAGGGAAAGAAGCUGUGGUGGUCGGACUCUAAGGGCACAGAAGAUUGUGAAGACGUGCCCUUCCUGCCCAACUGACAUCUGUGACUUCUUAGAGAAUCCCCAGAUCAACCGAGAAAUGAU